CACGUAGGGCGCAAGCGUUGUCUGGAAUUAUUGGGCGUAAAGAGCUCGUAGGUGGUUUGUUACGUCUGCUGUGAAAACCUAGGGCUUAACCCUGGGCUUGCAGUGGAUACGGGCAGACUAGAGGUAGGUAGGGGAGAAUGGAAUUCCUGGUGUAGCGGUGAAAUGCGCAGAUAUCAGGAGGAACACCGGUGGCGAAGGCGGUUCUCUGGGCCUUACCUGACACUGAGGAGCGAAAGCGUGGGGAGCGAACAGG
rnacentral:rRNA from 1 species